rnacentral:hammerhead_ribozyme from 1 species
AUCCAGCUGAUGAGUCCCGAAUAGGAUGAAACGCACGUCCUGGAU